rnacentral:rRNA from 1 species
AGCUCCAAUAGGAUAUAUCAAAGUUGUUGCAGUUGAAAAGCUCGUAGUCGUAUUAGUGGUGGGUAGAUGUUCUUUCGGUUGUGUGCUGGUGUGAAUCAGAUCUCGACAAUAUGGGGACCGCCUGUCAUAUUAGUGGAUAUUAUUUAAUUAAAUUCACUCGGUCACUGAGAGCAAAUUGGAGUGCUCAAAGCAAGCGUUUAUAGCUUUGAACAUCUUAGCUUGGAAUGACAAAGUAAGACUUUUUUCCUUCACUUUGUUGGUUCAGAAGGAAGAUAAAGUAAUGAUAAAUAGGAACAGUUGGGGAUGUAGCUAUUGGGAAGUCAGAGGUGAAAUUCUUAGAUUUUUCCAGGAGCAACGACUGCGAAAGCAUUCAUCAAGGAUGUUUUCAUUGAUCAAGAAC